rnacentral:rRNA from 1 species
UACGGAGGGUGCAAGCAUUAAUCGGAUUUAUUGGGCGUAAAGGGCGCGUAGGCGGGGAUAAUAGUCAGAUGUGAAAUCCUGGGGCUCAACCUCAGAACUGCAUUUGAAACUGUAUCUCUAGAGGGUAGGAGGAGAAAACGGAAUUCCACAAGUAGCGGUGAAAUGCGUAGAUAUGUGGAAGAACACCGGUGGCGAAGGCGGUUUUCUAUCUUAUUCCUGACGCUAAUGCGCGAAAGCAAGGGGAUCAAACAGG